CCUACGGGAGACAGCAGUGAGGAAUAUUGGUCAAUGGACGAGAGUCUGAACCAGCCAAGUAGCGUGAAGGAUGACUGCCCUAUGGGUUGUAAACUUCUUUUAUAUGGGAAUAAAAUGUUCCACGUGUGGGAUUUUGUAUGUCCCAUAUGAAUAAGGAUCGGCUAACUCCGUUCCAGCAGCCGCGGUAAUACGGAGGAUCCGAGCGUUAUCCGGAUUUAUUGGGUUUAAAGGGAGCGUAGGUGGAUUGUUAAGUCAGUUGUGAAAGUUUGCGGCUCAACCGUAAAAUUGCAGUUGAAACUGGCAGUCUUGAGUACAGUAGAGGUGGGCGGAAUUCGUGGUGUAGCGGUGAAAUGCUUAGAUAUAACGAAGAACUCCGAUGGCGAAGGCAGUUCACUGGACUGCAACUGACACUGAGGCUCGAAAGUGUGGGUAUCAAACAGGAUUAGAUACCCCGGUAGUC
rnacentral:rRNA from 1 species